GAUGAACGCUGGCGGCGUGCCUAAUACAUGCAAGUCGAGCGAACGGACGAGAAGCUUGCUUCUCUGAUGUUAGCGGCGGACGGGUGAGUAACACGUGGAUAACCUACCUAUAAGACUGGGAUAACUUCGGGAAACCGUAGCUAAUACCGGAUAAUAUUUUGAACCGCAUGGUUCAAAAGUGAAAGACGGUCUUGCUGUCACUUAUAGAUGGAUCCGCGCUGCAUUAGCUAGUUGGUAAGGUAACGGCUUACCAAGGCAACGAUGCAUAGCCGACCUGAGAGGGUGAUCGGCCACACUGGAACUGAGACACGGUCCAGACUCCUACGGAAGGCAGCAGUAGGGAAUCUUCCGCAAUGGGCGAAAGCCUGACGGAGCAACGCCGCGUGAGUGAUGAAGGUCUUCGGAUCGUAAAACUCUGUUAUUAGGGAAGAACAUAUGUGUAAGUAACUGUGCACAUCUUGACGGUACCUAAUCAGAAAGCCACGGCUAACUACGUGCCAGCAGCCGCGGUAAUACGUAGGUGGCAAGCGUUAUCCGGAAUUAUUGGGCGUAAAGCGCGCGUAGGCGGUUUUUUAAGUCUGAUGUGAAAGCCCACGGCUCAACCGUGGAGGGUCAUUGGAAACUGGAAAACUUGAGUGCAGAAGAGGAAAGUGGAAUUCCAUGUGUAGCGGUGAAAUGCGCAGAGAUAUGGAGGAACACCAGUGGCGAAGGCGACUUUCUGGUCUGUAACUGACGCUGAUGUGCGAAAGCGUGGGGAUCAAACAGGAUUAGAUACCCUGGUAGUCCACGCCGUAAACGAUGAGUGCUAAGUGUUAGGGGGUUUCCGCCCCUUAGUGCUGCAGCUAACGCAUUAAGCACUCCGCCUGGGGAGUACGACCGCAAGGUUGAAACUCAAAGGAAUUGACGGGGACCCGCACAAGCGGUGGAGCAUGUGGUUUAAUUCGAAGCAACGCGAAGAACCUUACCAAAUCUUGACAUCCUUUGACAACUCUAGAGAUAGAGCCUUCCCCUUCGGGGGACAAAGUGACAGGUGGUGCAUGGUUGUCGUCAGCUCGUGUCGUGAGAUGUUGGGUUAAGUCCCGCAACGAGCGCAACCCUUAAGCUUAGUUGCCAUCAUUAAGUUGGGCACUCUAAGUUGACUGCCGGUGACAAACCGGAGGAAGGUGGGGAUGACGUCAAAUCAUCAUGCCCCUUAUGAUUUGGGCUACACACGUGCUACAAUGGACAAUACAAAGGGCAGCGAAACCGCGAGGUCAAGCAAAUCCCAUAAAGUUGUUCUCAGUUCGGAUUGUAGUCUGCAACUCGACUACAUGAAGCUGGAAUCGCUAGUAAUCGUAGAUCAGCAUGCUACGGUGAAUACGUUCCCGGGUCU
rnacentral:rRNA from 1 species